UCGGGUUGUAAAGCACUUUUGUCCGGAAAGAAAACUUCUGCCCUAAUACGGCGGGAGGAUGACGGUACCGGAAGAAUAAGCACCGGCUAACUACGUGCCAGCAGCGCGGUAAUCGUAGGGUGCGAGCGUUAAUCGGAAUUACUGGGCGUAAAGCGUGCGCAGGCGGUUCGUUAAGACAGAUGUGAAAUCCCCGGGCUUAACCUGGGAACUGCAUUUGUGACUGGCGAGCUAGAGUAUGGCAGAGGGGGGUAGAAUUCCACGUGUAGCAGUGAAAUGCGUAGAGAUGUGGAGGAAUACCGAUGGCGAAGGCAGCCCCCUGGGCCAAUACUGACGCUCAUGCACGAAAGCGUGGGGAGCAAACAGGAUUAGAUACCCUGGUAGUCCACGCCCUAAACGAUGUCAACUAGUUGUUGGGUCUUCAUUGACUUAGUAACGUAGCUAACGCGUGAAGUUGACCGCCUGGGGAGUACGGUCGCAAGAUUAAAACUCAAAGGAAUUGACGGGGACCCGCACAAGCGGUGGAUGAUGUGGAUUAAUUCGAUGCAACGCGAAAAACCUUACCUACCCUUGACAUGGUCGGAACCCUGCUG
rnacentral:rRNA from 1 species